rnacentral:rRNA from 1 species
UACGUAGGGGGCAAGCGUUAUCCGGAAUUAUUGGGCGUGAAGAGUACGUAGGUGGCAACCUAAGCGCAGGGUUUAAGGCAAUGGCUCAACCAUUGUUCGCCCUGCGAACUGGGAUGCUUGAGUGCAGGAGAGGAAAGCGGAAUUCCUAGUGUAGCGGUGAAAUGCGUAGAUAUUAGGAGGAACACCAGUGGCGAAGGCGGCUUUCUGGACUGUAACUGACACUGAGGUACGAAAGCGUGGGGAGCAAACAGG